CUAGAGGUUCUCACAUCCUGAAGACAAAAUACUUGUAAGAUUCUUAUUGAUGUAAACAGAGCUCUACUUCAAAUCAUUUUAAUUAGAUAUCAUACUUAAAUUUCAAAAAAAUUACUGAAUCGAGCCAGUAAGUACACUUCCAUACAAUCAUAGAUUAUGCUCCAAUGUACAUACUUAUGGUUUAUUACUUAUGAAGAAUCAAUGUGCUUUUUAGGUAAAAAACAUUCCCGAGCACUCCUUCACAACCUCAAAACAAGCCACCAAACACUGGUACAUCUCUUACCAAUUUCAUCAAGUACAUUUCUUCACACACUGCUCUGAAAGCUUACGUUCUAAUUUUUUCUCUGUUAUCUUCCUUUUUCAGGGUAGCUCAAGAUUAGAAAGGAGUGCAUUGUAGGAGCGAGGAGCAACUAUAGAGAAAUUAGUUUUUAAAUGGACAAAUAUUAUGUAUUUUGUAAAGGAUUUAGCUUCAUAGGAAAACUUAGUUCUGGUUGUAUGAUCUUUUCUUAAUUAUUUUCAUCUUUCAUAUGAAUAUUUGAUUUGAUUCAAUUCUGAACUCAAGGUGUUUGUUCGUAAUUGAAAUUGUGCGAAUGAGAUGCUUGUGAUACAAUUGGUGAUAUGGGAAGAUCCCUUUAUAUAAUAUUUGUUGCCUAUGAAUGUG
rnacentral:lncRNA from 1 species